rnacentral:rRNA from 1 species
GGGUUGUGAGGUUAAGCGACUAAGCGUACACGGUGGAUGCCCUGGCAGUCAGAGGCGAUGAAGGACGUGCUAAUCUGCGAUAAGCGUCGGUAAGGUGAUAUGAACCGUUAUAACCGGCGAUUUCCGAAUGGGGAAACCCAGUGUGAUUCGUCACACUAUCAUUAACUGAAUCCAUAGGUUAAUGAGGCGAACCGGGGGAACUGAAACAUCUAAGUACCCCGAGGAAAAGAAAUCAACCGAGAUUCCCCCAGUAGCGGCGAGCGAACGGGGAGCAGCCCAGAGCCUGAAUCAGUGUGUGUGUUAGUGGAAGCGUCUGGAAAGGCGCGCGAUACAGGGUGACAGCCCCGUACACAAAAAUGCACAUGCUGUGAGCUCGAUGAGUAGGGCGGGACACGUGGUAUCCUGUCUGAAUAUGGGGGGACCAUCCUCCAAGGCUAAAUACUCCUGACUGACCGAUAGUGAACCAGUACCGUGAGGGAAAGGCGAAAAGAACCCCGGCGAGGGGAGUGAAAAAGAACCUGAAACCGUGUACGUACAAGCAGUGGGAGCCUCUUUAUGGGGUGACUGCGUACCUUUUGUAUAAUGGGUCAGCGACUUAUAUUCUGUAGCAAGGUUAACCGAAUAGGGGAGCCGAAGGGAAACCGAGUCUUAACUGGGCGUUAAGUUGCAGGGUAUAGACCCGAAACCCGGUGAUCUAGCCAUGGGCAGGUUGAAGGUUGGGUAACACUAACUGGAGGACCGAACCGACUAAUGUUGAAAAAUUAGCGGAUGACUUGUGGCUGGGGGUGAAAGGCCAAUCAAACCGGGAGAUAGCUGGUUCUCCCCGAAAGCUAUUUAGGUAGCGCCUCGUGAAUUCAUCUCCGGGGGUAGAGCACUGUUUCGGCAAGGGGGUCAUCCCGACUUACCAACCCGAUGCAAACUGCGAAUACCGGAGAAUGUUAUCACGGGAGACACACGGCGGGUGCUAACGUCCGUCGUGAAGAGGGAAACAACCCAGACCGCCAGCUAAGGUCCCAAAGUCAUGGUUAAGUGGGAAACGAUGUGGGAAGGCCCAGACAGCCAGGAUGUUGGCUUAGAAGCAGCCAUCAUUUAAAGAAAGCGUAAUAGCUCACUGGUCGAGUCGGCCUGCGCGGAAGAUGUAACGGGGCUAAACCAUGCACCGAAGCUGCGGCAGCGACACUAUGUGUUGUUGGGUAGGGGAGCGUUCUGUAAGCCUGCGAAGGUGUACUGUGAGGUAUGCUGGAGGUAUCAGAAGUGCGAAUGCUGACAUAAGUAACGAUAAAGCGGGUGAAAAGCCCGCUCGCCGGAAGACCAAGGGUUCCUGUCCAACGUUAAUCGGGGCAGGGUGAGUCGACCCCUAAGGCGAGGCCGAAAGGCGUAGUCGAUGGGAAACAGGUUAAUAUUCCUGUACUUGGUGUUACUGCGAAGGGGGGACGGAGAAGGCUAUGUUGGCCGGGCGACGGUUGUCCCGGUUUAAGCGUGUAGGCUGGUUUUCCAGGCAAAUCCGGAAAAUCAAGGCUGAGGCGUGAUGACGAGGCACUACGGUGCUGAAGCAACAAAUGCCCUGCUUCCAGGAAAAGCCUCUAAGCAUCAGGUAACAUCAAAUCGUACCCCAAACCGACACAGGUGGUCAGGUAGAGAAUACCAAGGCGCUUGAGAGAACUCGGGUGAAGGAACUAGGCAAAAUGGUGCCGUAACUUCGGGAGAAGGCACGCUGAUACGUAGGUGAAGUCCCUUGCGGAUGGAGCUGAAAUCAGUCGAAGAUACCAGCUGGCUGCAACUGUUUAUUAAAAACACAGCACUGUGCAAACACGAAAGUGGACGUAUACGGUGUGACGCCUGCCCGGUGCCGGAAGGUUAAUUGAUGGGGUUAGCGGUAACGCGAAGCUCUUGAUCGAAGCCCCGGUAAACGGCGGCCGUAACUAUAACGGUCCUAAGGUAGCGAAAUUCCUUGUCGGGUAAGUUCCGACCUGCACGAAUGGCGUAAUGAUGGCCAGGCUGUCUCCACCCGAGACUCAGUGAAAUUGAACUCGCUGUGAAGAUGCAGUGUACCCGCGGCAAGACGGAAAGACCCCGUGAACCUUUACUAUAGCUUGACACUGAACAUUGAGCCUUGAUGUGUAGGAUAGGUGGGAGGCUUUGAAGUGUGGACGCCAGUCUGCAUGGAGCCGACCUUGAAAUACCACCCUUUAAUGUUUGAUGUUCUAACGUUGGCCCCUAAUCGGGGUUGCGGACAGUGUCUGGUGGGUAGUUUGACUGGGGCGGUCUCCUCCUAAAGAGUAACGGAGGAGCACGAAGGUUGGCUAAUCCUGGUCGGACAUCAGGAGGUUAGUGCAAUGGCAUAAGCCAGCUUGACUGCGAGCGUGACGGCGCGAGCAGGUGCGAAAGCAGGUCAUAGUGAUCCGGUGGUUCUGAAUGGAAGGGCCAUCGCUCAACGGAUAAAAGGUACUCCGGGGAUAACAGGCUGAUACCGCCCAAGAGUUCAUAUCGACGGCGGUGUUUGGCACCUCGAUGUCGGCUCAUCACAUCCUGGGGCUGAAGUAGGUCCCAAGGGUAUGGCUGUUCGCCAUUUAAAGUGGUACGCGAGCUGGGUUUAGAACGUCGUGAGACAGUUCGGUCCCUAUCUGCCGUGGGCGCUGGAGAACUGAGGGGGGCUGCUCCUAGUACGAGAGGACCGGAGUGGACGCAUCACUGGUGUUCGGGUUGUCAUGCCAAUGGCACUGCCCGGUAGCUAAAUGCGGAAGAGAUAAGUGCUGAAAGCAUCUAAGCACGAAACUUGCCCCGAGAUGAGUUCUCCCUGACUCCUUGAGAGUCCUGAAGGAACGUUGAAGACGACGACGUUGAUAGGCCGGGUGUGUAAGCGCAGCGAUGCGUUGAGCUAACCGGUACUAAUGAACCGUGAGGCUUAACCUUACAACGCCGAAG